CUUCAUCUCCACCCUCCUCUAUGAAAAAGGUGAGCCUCCUGUGGGUGAAGGGUCCCUGUGGCCCCUACAGAGGAAUGGCAUGGUAGUUUCCUCAUUCAUAAGGUGUGGCCCCCUAGGAUUCUCGGAGGACCCUGUGGGGAUCAGAGCGACUUCAUUUUCAACGCGAAUCCAGCAUGUGACUCCUGACUGGCCGGAGUCCGGGAAUGCCUCCAAGACGGCGGGUUGAUGUGUUACCCUUAGGCAGAACCUCCUACUCACCAGCCUUUCCUCCAAAACUGCCCUUGGUAUUGCACGCCUGACAGGCUGUGACGCCCGCAGACACCUACGCAUUCCUUCCAGAGCACGUACGCUCUUCCCCGAUGCACGGGUCUGGGCGGUUGUGGUGCAGAGAUGUAGUGUCUUGUGGCUACCCGAGAGCACAUUUCUGUUCAUCAAGAUCCCCUAAUAAAUCAUCUCUUACUGACAAA